rnacentral:rRNA from 1 species
UGCAUCCUACGGGGCGCAGCAGUAGGGAAUCCUCCACAAUGGGCGAAAGCCUGAUGGAGCAACGCCGCGUGGGUGAAGAAGGUCUUCGGAUCGUAAAACCCUGUUGUUAGAGAAGAAAGUGCGUGAGAGUAACUGUUCACGCUUCGACGGUAUCUAACCCGAAAGCCACGGCUAACUACGUGCCAGCAGCCGCGGUAAUACGUAGGUGGCAAGCGUUAUCCGGAUUUAUUGGGCGUAAAGGGAACGCAGGCGGUCUUUUAAGUCUGAUGUGAAAGCCUUCGGCUUAACCGGAGUAGUGCAUUGGG